rnacentral:rRNA from 1 species
UACGUAGGUGGCAAGCGUUGUCCGGAGUUAUUGGGCGUAAAGCGCGCGCAGGCGGUGCGGUAAGUCUCUGGUGAAAGCACUCGGCUUAACUGGGCGAGGGCCGGGGAGACUGCCACGCUGGAGGGGAGCAGAGGCGAGUGGAAUUCCGGGUGUAGUGGUGAAAUGCGUAGAGAUCCGGAGGAACACCAAAGGCGAAGGCAGUGUCCUGGGGAGUACCUGACGCUCAGGUGCGAAAGCCAGGGGAGCGAACGGG